AUGAAAGUUAGUCAACACCUUUAUUUUGGUGUUUUUUUACAUAAAUGCAGGUUUUUAGAAAGUUGUGACAUGCAACACCCACUGUCAUUUUUCCAGAAUCUCACAGGUAGGUUACGCAAGAAAUCAUGUCAGCCAAUGGUGAUGUACACACCUUUUAUAGCUCCACCCCAACAGAUUAUAAUAACUCCCUCUGCAAGGCUUUGCAGAUCCACACAAAGGAGUUCAGCUCUACGUGGAGAAACAAGAGCAAAAUGGGUAUCAGCCAGUUACUGAAUAAGCCUUCAGGUGGGGAUAAAGAAAUGAAUCCAGAAUAUCAAGUGGUCACUAUGCAGCCGGAAGUUAAUGUGAUCAUCACUCCACUGAAUAACCCACCAGAUUACAUGCGUUUCUCCAUCUUUACCACGCUGUGCUUUUGUUUACCUCCUGGCCUUGCUGCUCUGGUUUUUUCAAUCACAACUCGAAAUGCAAACCUGUUUGGACACCGACAAAUUGCAUACAAAAACUCCAGCAUGGCACGCAAACUUAACCAUGUCAGUCUUGGUAUUGGCAUUACAAUAUAUUUGUUGGUUUUUGGCCUUGUCAUGUAUUUUGGGAUCAGGGUUGCAUUUGCAUGUUUGUUAAUUUUGGUGUCGAAUUUAAUAAGCCUUUAGCUUAAGAAAGUGUGACCAUACGUUAAUGGCCCAUAUUGACAUUAAGUUACUGUCAUACAACUGCCAAGGACUGCGUAUGGGUCAGUGUGUUGGAGAUAGAGCUCAUCGUAAUGUUGUUAAACUUUGGAUGACUGUUAUAUGUUAUGCUUGCAAGAUACUUUUUUGUCAAACUAAAUGUAUGAUAAGGUAAAAUGUUUGUCUCAAUAUUUUAAAUAUAUAUUGUAUAAACAUUAAGGCUUUGUAUAUGAAGAAUAACAAAUGUAUUCAGCAUUCAUUCUAAUCAGAUAUGUACUUGCUGUCAGGUUUUUUUUUAAGUGCAAAACUAUUGACUUUUAUACAUCUUAAAGUGGAUUUUCUGCAAUGGCUUUAAAAAACCUCUCUCUAUGUUUUGGGUUGUUCAUCUAACUUUUUAUAACGUUUCUGGAAUAGCUUUAUGUAAACAUUGUAUUUAUAAACAUCUAGUUUAAAUAAAGGUUAUUAUUACAGACA